rnacentral:rRNA from 1 species
UACGGGGGGAGCAAGCGUUGUUCGGAUUUACUGGGCGUAAAGGGCGCGUAGGCGGUCAGCACAAGUCAGUUGUGAAAUCUCCGGGCUUAACUCGGAAAGGUCAACUGAUACUGUGCGACUAGAGUGCAGAAGGGGCAACUGGAAUUCUCGGUGUAGCGGUGAAAUGCGUAGAGAUCGGAAAGAACACCAACGGCGAAAGCACUCUGCUGGGCCGACACUGACACUGAGAGACGAAAGCUAGGGGAGCGAAUGGG